rnacentral:rRNA from 1 species
ACUCCUACGGGAGGCAGCAGUGGGAAUAUUGGACAAUGGGGAACCGUAGCAUCCAGCCAUGCCGCGUGUGUGAAGAAGGCCUUCGGGUUGUAAAGCACUUUCAGUGGGGAGGAAAGGUUGUUGGUUAAUACCUAACAGCUGUGACGUUACCCACAGAAGAAGCACCGGCUAACUCCGUGCCAGCAGCCGCGGUAAUACGGAGGGUGCGAGCGUUAUCCGGAUUUAUUGGGUUUAAAGGGUCCGUAGGCGGAUUAAUAAGUCAGUGGUGAAAUCCCAUCGCUUAACGAUGGAACUGCCAUUGAUACUGUUAGUCUUGAAUGAGGGUGCAGUGGUUGGAAUGUGUAGUGUAGCGGUGAAAUGCAUAGAUAUUACACAGAACACCGAUUGCGAAGGCAGAUCACUAACCCUAAAUUGACGCUGAGGGACGAAAGCGUGGGGAGCGAACAGGAUUAGAUACCCUGUAGGCUUUGCU